CAGUAGCCGCGGUAAUACAGAGGGUGCGAGCGUUAAUCGGAUUUACUGGGCGUAAAGCGUGCGUAGGCGGCUUCUUAAGUCGGAUGUGAAAUCCCUGAGCUUAACUUAGGAAUUGCAUUCGAUACUGGGCAGCUAGAGUAUGGGAGAGGAUGGUAGAAUUCCAGGUGUAGCGGUGAAAUGCGUAGAGAUCUGGAGGAAUACCGAUGGCGAAGGCAGCUAUCUGGCCUAAUACUGACGCUGAGGUACGAAAGCAUGGGGAGCAAACAGGAUUAGAUACCCCCGUAGUCCCUGUCUCUUAUAC
rnacentral:rRNA from 1 species